GAUGAACGCUGGCGGCGUGCCUAAUACAUGCAAGUCGAGCGAACAGACGAGGAGCUUGCUCCUCUGACGUUAGCGGCGGACGGGUGAGUAACACGUGGAUAACCUACCUAUAAGACUGGGAUCACUUCGGGAAACCGGAGCUAAUCCCGGAUAAUAUAUUGAACCGCAUGGUUCAAUAGUGAAAGACGGUUUUGCUGUCACUUAUAGAUGGAUCCGCGCCGCAUUAGCUAGUUGGUAAGGUAACGGCUUACCAAGGCAACGAUGCGUAGCCGACCUGAGAGGGUGAUCGGCCACCCUGGAACUGAGACACGGUCCAGACUCCUACGGGAGGCAGCAGUAGGGAAUCUUCCGCAAUGGGCGAAAGCCUGACGGAGCAACGCCGCGUGAGUGAUGAAGGUCUUCGGAUCGUAAAACUCUGUUAUUAGGGAAGAACAAAUGUGUAAGUAACUAUGCACGUCUUGACGGUACCUAAUCAGAAAGCCACGGCUAACUACGUG
rnacentral:rRNA from 1 species